rnacentral:rRNA from 1 species
AGGAUUAGAUACCCGGGUAGUCCACGCCGUAAACGAUGAGUACUAGGUGUAGGGGGUAUCGACCCCCUCUGUGCCGAAGCUAACGCGAUAAGUACUCCGCCUGGGGACUACGGCCGCAAGGCUAAAACUCAAAGGAAUUGACGGGGGCCCGCACAAGCAGCGGAGCGUGUGGUUUAAUUCGAUGAUACGCGAAGAACCUCACCCAGGUUUGACAUGCAUGUGGUACUGAGGUCAAAGCCAAGGGACCCUUCGGGGAGCAUGCACAGGUGUUGCACGGCCGUCGUCAGCUCGUGCCGUGAGGUGUUGGAUUAAGUCCCGCAACGAGCGCAACCCCUGUCGCCAGUUGUACUUUUCUGGCGAGACUGCCGAGAAAACCUCGGAGGAAGGAGGGGACGAUGUCAGGUCAGCGUGGCCCUUACGCCUGGGGCUACACACACGCUACAAUGGGCAGUACAACGGGUCGCUAAGCCGCGAGGUGGAGCUAAUCCCAUCAAAACUGUCCUCAGUUCGGAUUGCAGGCUGAAACCCGCCUGCAUGAAGCCGGAGUUGCUAGUAACCGCAGGUCAGCAUUACUGCGGUGAAUACGUUCCCGGGCCUUGUACACACCGCCCGUCACGUCAUGAAAGUUGGUAACACCUGAAGCCGGUGGGCUAACCGCAAGGAGGCAGCCGUCGAGGGUGGGACCAGCGAUUGGGACGAAGUCGUAACAAG